rnacentral:lncRNA from 1 species
AGAGAAUUCUAGAAGAAAGGAGGCUCCUCUAUCUAGUAGGCUCAUCCAGGGAGCAGACCCACUAAGGCACAUGUGCUACAGAAGCAUGGUGUUCCUUCUUGUUGUAGACAAUGAUGACCAAAAGCUGAAUAGUGAACAUUAUCCAUCUGAGAACAGGUAUGGCAUGCAGAUGAGACUGAAGAGCAGGAGCAGUCAAAGGAAGUUUUGUUCCCCACUGCUGGGGAUCUUAAAAAAGAUUUCACUAAGAACUAAGUAUAAGGAGCAGAUGAGGAAACUGACAGAGAAGUUCAAUGAUUUGCGCAGAAGUUCAGUGAUUUGCCCAGAUUCAUGUAACUAGCAAGUGUCUGAAGCAGGAUCUGAGCCCAAAUCUUCCUGACAUCAAGGCCAAGGCUAUAUCCACUAUAUCAACUCUAUGAUAUUAUUGUUAUUAUUUAUUAAUCUGUCCCUUCUUCCCCUUAAUAAAAAUGAAAAUCAGGACA